CCAGCUGGGGAAGCUGGUGCCACGGUAAGGUGCAUUGGCUUGUUUCUUGCUUGUUGCUGAGCCAUGCCCUCCACACAGAUCUAACCAAUCAUGCCUGCAGCAUCAGCAGCCACUGUCAUCUGAGCAGCAUGCUUUGCAAGCAAAGGACUGGAUAAUCCCCCACCAUCGCAGUUGUUUCUGUUUGAAAGCAGGUUAAGGAAGCUUUGGAGGGAGCCUGGGAAGGAUGUGGCUGUAGUAGGCUGCAUCAGUUAAGGGGGUGGUAGAUCUCACAGUGGCGCACAAGGCGUGUAAGCCCAGAAAAAGCAGCUGCUGCUCACGUCUGAGGGAGCCUGUGGAAGUCUUCUAUCAGCUUCCCACCUCACUCCACUGACAGAUCCCUGGCAGUCUGGAAUUCAGAGAUCAAGGAUAAGCAAUACGUGGGUUUGAGGAGGCUGCCUGGUCGCUCUGCUCUCCGCUGAUCCCAGACUCCUGAAGAGAAGAACUGCAGGUGCUUGAAUCCAUUUGGACCGGCCGGUGAAGAGCAACUGAGGCAGCAGCGGCAGAGCUGGCCAGACUUGCGCAACCUUCACAUGCAGGAACAAAUGAGCCAUUCCCAGGAAGGCUCUGGAAGGUUUUCGGCUGCGAGAAGGCAGAGCACAGAGCAUACAGAUGAGGUGAGA